ensembl:miRNA
GAGAUGGGAGGAUCACUUGAGCCCGGGGGUUUGAGGCUGCAUUGAGCUGUGAUCAUGCCACUGCACUCCAGCCUGAGUGACAGAGCAAGACCCUGUCUC